rnacentral:rRNA from 1 species
GACGAACGCUGGCGGCGUGCUUAACACAUGCCAGUCGAACGCUGAAGACCUGGCUUUUGUUGGGUUGGAUGAGUGGCGAACGGGUGAGUAACACGUGAGUAACCUGCCCUCUUCUUUGGGAUAACGCCCGGAAACGGGUGCUAAUACUGGAUAUUCACUGGCCUUCGCAUGGGGGUUGGUGGAAAGGUUUGUUCUGGUGGGGGAUGGGCUCGCGGCCUAUCAGCUUGUUGGUGGGGUGAUGGCCUACCAAGGCUUUGACGGGUAGCCGGCCUGAGAGGGUGACCGGUCACAUUGGGACUGAGAUACGGCCCAGACUCCUACGGGAGGCAGCAGUGGGGAAUAUUGCACAAUGGGCGAAAGCCUGAUGCAGCGACGCCGCGUGAGGGAUGGAGGCCUUCGGGUUGUAAACCUCUUUCGCUCAUGGUCAAGCCGCAACUGUGGGUUGUGGUGAGGGUAGUGGGUAAAGAAGCGCCGGCUAACUACGUG